rnacentral:lncRNA from 1 species
UGUCAGCUGGCUUGUUUCUCUCAUUUAUUCACCAGGGGAACCAAAGAGUUAACAGAAAAUAUCAGUUGCAGUUUAUUCUGCCCAUACUCCUAUCUACAGAAAUAACUCAAAGAGUUCUUUGAGACAAAACUUUCUAACAGCAAUAAAAUGUGUGCUUGAGCACAGUUAGAUUUAUGACAAAUAAAAUUACCGCUGAUACAGUAGUGGCAGUGACGGAUUCAAAGGCAGGAUUUUGUUGUGGAAAGAAUGAAAGCUGCGGAGUCCGCUAAUCAAGAAGCCAGCUGGCAUCUCCGAGCCUUCGUUUUCUUCAUUUGCAACAUGAAAAUAGUACCUGCUGGAAGAUUGCAAAUUGCCUUAAAAAAAUAGAUGGGUGUUAAUAUGUAUUGUUCUCUAUUUUAUUUCAGAAGUAAAAUCCACAGCCUUCCAAAUGACAUGAUGACAGUCUUCCAUGCUCUUCAUUCCGUGGCAGUCACCUCCUCUGUGUCUUCAUCCUGCCUGUGCUGGAACUGCCCUUUUUGUAAAAAUGUGUUCAUGGAUUUAUUUAAGAAAUAUUUUUUAGCCCAAAUAACUGUUCAAGUUUGCCAAUUAAUGUUUGUUUAUAAUAUCUUUUAUGUACUGAACAAAAUAAUCUCUACAAGUAGACCAUGUGUGAUGUCUUCCAUUCUUUUUGGGAUUCUUCUGAUCCAACAUCAGAUACAGUGCUUGUUUAUCUCUGUGCGCUUCAAGCUGUCACUUGGUGCUUCUGGUUGUUUUGUUAACACGUUGAUCCAUCUAAUACCAAUUUUGUUACAUCAUGGAAGGGUGCUAACCCUUCUCCAGCCCUGUGGGAGAAUGAAGAAGUGGGAAGGCAGACUUAUGGAUAUCAACAAGCACACAGUCUAAGAGAAGGGAGGCAACACAUCUAAAAGAACUAAACUGGGCAAGGAUGAGUUUGAAUGAGUAUCCACGUUAAUGAUACAUAAUCUGUAUGGUAUAGAAUGAAAGUUCCAUGGAUGUUUAGAAUUGAGGAGUAAAGUAAAACAUUUCAGGAAUGGCUUAAGAUGUGAAAAUCAGCGAGGUGGUGUUAGGCUCACAUAUGACAACGCCCCAGGGGAGCAGUUCAUACGCUGUGAGGCAUGACUCUCACAUAACCCAGCAACAGCUGCUUAUCCCCUGGGACAUGAGGAAUCAGAAGAACUUCAUUUGAGUCCCAUCUCUGCUCUUCCCCACUGCACAUCCUUGUACAGGUCAUUUAUUUUUUCUGAAGACCUGUUUUGUC